GGGGAUGUAGCUCAGUGGCCCUGCGCCUGCCUGGCAAGCAUGAAGCCCUGAGUUCGAUUCCCAGUACCCCCC
rnacentral:tRNA from 1 species